rnacentral:rRNA from 1 species
CCUACGGGAGGCAGCAGUGAGGAAUAUUGGUCAAUGGGCGGGAGCCUGAACCAGCCAAGCCGCGUGAAGGAAGAAGGCGCCAAGUGUCGUAAACUUCUUUUGCCGGGGAACAAAGGGCGCCACGUGUGGCGUUGUGAGUGUACCCGAAGAAAAAGCAUCGGUUAACUCCGUGCCAGCAGCAGAGGUAAUACGGAGGAUGCGAGCGUUAUCCGGAUGUAUUGGGUUAAAAGGGUGCGUAGGCGGUCCGGAAAGUCCGCGGUAAAAGCCCGGGGCUAAACCCCGGCGAGCCGUUGAAACUGUCGGGCUAGAGAGGGCGAGAAGUACGCGGAAUGCGCGGUGUAGCGGUGAAAUGCAUAGAUAUCGCGCAGAACUGCGAUUGCGAAGGCAGCGUACCGGAGCCGGACUGACGCUGAGGCACGAAAGCGUGGGUAUCGAACAGGAUUAGAUACCCUUGUAGUC